UGGAACUCAAUUUGAAUGUGAUCAAGCUUGAUUUAAGGCUAUAGUGCAUGAUCAGACGGCUCUGGUGCAAGCUGAUCACAAUCGGAUAGUUACGGAUGGUUCUAAGAUUUUAUUCGACCUCAGUAUCCUAUGAAAAUAGUAUUUUAGAGUUUUUAGAGCCUAUAUAGCUCUGAUUGAUGAGCCGUUUAUUACGUUAGAAA
rnacentral:lncRNA from 1 species